UACAGAGGGUGCUAGCGUUGUUCGGAAUCAUUGGGCGUAAAGGGCGUGUAGGCGGUUUGUUAAGUCAUGUGUGAAAGCCCCCGGCUCAACCGGGGAACGACGCAUGAAACUGGCAAGCUAGAGUACCGAAGAGGGGGGUGGAAUUCUCGGUGUAGCAGUGAAAUGCGUAGAUAUCGAGAGGAACACCAGUGGCGAAGGCGAGUCCCUGGACAACACCUGACACUGAGGCACGAAAGCUAGGGGAGCAAACAGG
rnacentral:rRNA from 1 species